rnacentral:rRNA from 1 species
CGCCUUGCCAGCCCGCUCAGAAACUUAAAGGAAUUGACGGGGCCCGCACAAGCGGAGGAGCAUGUGGUUUAAUUCGAUGAUACGCGAGGAACCUUACCUGGGCUCGAACGUAAGAUGACUGUAGGUGAAAGCUUACAUCUCUUCGGAGCAUUUUACGAGGUGCUGCAUGGUUGUCGUCAGCUCGUGCCGUGAGGUGUCGGGUUAAGUCCCAUAACGAGCGCAACCCCUACCUUUAGUUGCCAUCAGGUUAAGCUGGGGACUCUAAAGGAACUGCCUACGCAAGUAGUGAGGAAGGCGGGGAUGACGUCAAAUCAGCACGGCCCUUACGUCCAGGGCUACACACGUGCUACAAUGGCCGAUACAGAGGGCAGCUACCUGGUGACAGGAUGCAAAUCUCCAAAGUCGGUCUCAGUUCGGAUCGGAGUCUGCAACCCGACUCCGUGAAGUUGGAUUCGCUAGUAAUCGCGCAUCAGCCAUGGCGCGGUGAAUACGUUCCCGGGCCUU